ACGCUCGACACCUACGGGAGGCAGCAGUGGGGAAUAUUGCACAAUGGGGGAAACCCUGAUGCAGCGACGCCGCGUGGAGGAGAAGGUCUUCGGAUUGUAAACUCCUGUUGUUGGGGAAAAAGAGGAUGGUACCCAACAAGGAAGUGACGGCUAACUACGUGCCAGAAGCCGCGGUAAUCUGAGCGGGCUGGGCAAGGC
rnacentral:rRNA from 1 species